rnacentral:rRNA from 1 species
AACGAACGCUGGCGGCAGGCUUAACACAUGCAAGUCGAACGGGUGUAGCAAUACAUCAGUGGCAGACGGGUGAGUAACACGUGGGAACCUUCCUAGGGGUACGGAACAACUCAGGGAAACUUGAGCUAAUACCGUAUACGUCCGUAAGGAGAAAGAUUCAUCGCCCCUAGACGGGCCCGCGUCGGAUUAGGUAGUUGGUGGGGUAACGGCCUACCAAGCCUACGAUCCGUAGCUGAUCUGAGAGGANGAUCAGCCACACUGGGACUGAGACACGGCCCAGACUCCUACGGGAGGCAGCAGUGGGGAAUCUUGGACAAUGGGCGCAAGCCUGAUCCAGCCAUGCCGCGUGAGUGAAGAAGGCCUUAGGGUUGUAAAGCUCUUUUACCAGGGACGAUAAUGACGGUACCUGGAGAAUAAG